AUCAGAGGGAGUGGCCGUCUAUGGAGGCUGUGACCCGCCCCUCGGGGGCUCCUUUGGAACUUUUUUUUUAAGUGUCCGUGGAGGAAUCGUCCCGUUGAGCGAUGCCUGGGUGACGCGACCCAAGGCUAUAAAAGCAAAAGUUGUGUCCCUCACCAACAGGAGUUAGUGAGAAGAAGGGCUCCCUUUUGGGUUUAGUGGUGGGGAGGAGGAAGUGGGUAGUUCAGGACUGCAGAUGAGAGAUGACAGAGCUACAAGCAGCCACUAGCAUGGGGGUGGGAGAAGGGCCUUUAACUAAUAAGGAGGCAAGGUGUUGGGACAGUGGUCGUGUGGACGGCAGCUUCCAAAGCGCCUUCAACAACCCACACAGGGGCAGUAACCUUAAAGACCAGGCUGGCCCUGCGGUCCGCUGGAGUGGGGAUACUUGACCUCCAAGAGGGCACAAGUCUCACGGGCCUACAUGGGCCGUGUCUAACUUAGUGACAGAGCAGGUGGUUAGGACAGGUGGACUCGGGCCCUUGAGGCCCUGGAUGUCAAGAAAUAUAAGCAGUAAAGGCAGGGUUAGGUGGGCAGUGGGGAUCAGCUUUAAACUUGACAAUACCAGCAGAGCCCUUUUUUUGCAGAUAGGGGUUGUGUACCUGCCUGGGGAUGAGGCCUGUUAUGAAAAGUGGACUUAGCUUCACGGGGCUGACAGCUCUGGCCCUGGGUGGUGGCAGUCCCCCUCCCUGGACUUUUCCUAGGUUCCGUGGGCCCCUCUUCUGUGAUCUCUUCCCCUUCUCUCCCUUCUAACUCUGAGGGUAUGGGUUCACUUAGAACCUUGCCUCUGGUCAUCUGGUAAGCCUGGGGAAGGUAGAGUUGGUGGCGGAGUCUUCUCCGCAUCUUGGUAUUACUGGUAAAAGUAUUGCUGGCUGGGUGGGGAGGAUUGGUGUUGAUUAGCAGAGGGUGGGGCUUGAAUGUGGACCCUCGGGUGGGCUCGCUCGUGGUUUCAGUCACCCAAAUGCCUCAUGGACGUGGUUUAUUGCUGUAGUGUUCAUCAUGGCAAGCAGAUGGCACCAGGAGAAAUGCAGCCCCUGCCAGUGUGAGUCGUAGCAGUGCAGGAGGGCACACCCUGGAGGAGACAGCCACCUAAGUCGAUGCCUACACAGUGAAUUCCAGAGGCUUAGGAAGUUCUGCGCUGCCAUGUGUCCAGGAGGCCAUCGUUUAAGUGGUUCAGAUCAGCUAAUCAGCUAAUGGGAGCUAAUCAGCUAAUGGGGGUUGGGACGGGCAGAUGCUUCCGGUUGGAGGGGCUGUCGGCAGUGAAUGUUCCAGAUGAAUGAAUGUCUUGUUCUGGGAGCACCAGUCUCCGGAUGCAUGAAUGCCAGCCAACAUCACCUUUCCUGGGGGUAGAGGCAUUCGGCUGCUGCAUCUUCUAAAUCAAGCCUCCAGUCUUUAGUUCUGUGCUACGAACUUGGCUUCCAGAAGAUUGCUUAAGGUGUAGAACACUUUAACUUUGUCCUCAACACAGCACGAUGCCUUGUAGAUGGUGUUUGCCGGAGGAGCCCGGUGACCUCGCCCACCUUCCCUUCAGCCUGCCUGCCUCUGCAUUGGUCAGAGGCAUUCAUAAGUGUGAAACUUUUGGGCGUUAGGGAAAGCUGUUCGAUUUUAAAUGAUGGAAGUGGAGGAGUAUUAGUGAAGCCGAUUGUUAAAUGGGUGGGUGUUGUGUUUUAAAAGUACGAAGGGCACAAGUUUUGUUGUCUAACUUGGUCAUUGGGGUGGUGUCUGGUAAGUGGUGCACCGGCCUACAGUGGUGUCUGGGAAUUUCUUUUUCUGUGGGUUUGGUUUUGGUACUGGGUGGUGUGCUACUGUUACCCCACUGAGUGACAGCACCUAGCAGCCACUUGUUUCUGUUCACUAGUUUCUCACUUGGCCUGACCUCACUCAGCUCUCAGUCCUGCUGGGAUUACAGGUGUCAUCUAAAACUCCAUCAGUUUUACUGGGUCAGGCUUCAGAAUAUUUUUGGCACCAGAGGUGGGACUUGCUGGCAAGAAAACAGGGUUCAGCUUGGCAUUGGUCUCUUGGCCAGAGGCUUGAUGAGGGGUUGGGAGUGCUGGAAAAGUGCAAUUGGAAAUGGGGGUUGAUGGGAAGAACAGUUUGGGAACUAAAAGCUCUCAUAACAUGUAAAAGUUGAUGCUAAAUCCUUAAUGUGGGUGAAUGAAUUGUUGAGGCGCAGCAACAGUUCCCUCUAAGACAAGGGGGAAAAGCAAAAUUGUUUUGCUGUUAAAAAGACAAUGCUGAAGUGUGGGGUGGGACGGGGAUGUUGGGAAGGGCUUGUAAAUGCCUACAUUGUGGGCUCUUAUAUAUAGCAUUGGCCUUUGUACUAGAGGUUGACAGACUCGGCUAGGUUUAUAAUUUAAAUCAUAUCAGAUACUGUGGUUAAUUCUAAUGCUGUUCUAUCUAAAGGGAUUUUUAAGAGUCAUGCCUUAUGAUGAAACAUCAUUUUUGGGAUUGGCCGGAACACUACAGGGGUUGUUAUAUUUGACUAAUAAAUCAGUCAUUGUGACAAGGGGACAUAGCUUUGCACUUACUAUGAAAUUAUAAUGUUUGGCAGGAAACCUGAUCCACGUACAUUUGCAAAGGCUUCAAUGAGUACAUUGUGUUUUUAGCUUGAAUGGUGCUUUCAAACAAUCCCUGAGCAGAGGGGAAAGAAACUAAUUGUCAAAAGAGUUUGGGAAAUAAAACUCAAACCAGGUGUUGCCGGGGACAUCUUCAUAGAUAAUGUAAAAAAUGGCUCUGAAAAUCCUUGGUGUCUGAAGUGGUAAAGGUAGCAGCCAAUGGCUUUUUCUGUUGUCUUUUCCCUUAAAAUCAAGUCGCCGCCAGCACUCGUUGUCUUCUGGGUUGGUGAUAUUUUUGUGUUUUAUGUGAUUUAAAAUGGUGUGACUAAGGAAUGGUCACUGUCAUUGGAACACCAAGGAGUGUUGGUCACCUUGGAAUGGGGAAAUGUGGAGACUUGUCCCAGAUGGCCACAGCACCCUCUUGUUCUCUGUACUAAAGUGUUCUAAAGUGUACCUGUACAUAGCCACUAAUCAUUUUUCUCCUUUACAGCAAAAUAAAGGUUUGAGAUCAAAACU